AGUACUCCAUCAGGAUGAGAAGAAUAGCCAACGUUGAUGGCCCCCGCUGACCUUAUUGCACUCAAUAUGCCGUGGACGAUGUCUCCUUCGAACAACACCCGGUGCACGCUCAAAAGCUUUUGGCCUGCCACACUUGGACAAGUGGCAAGCUGCACUCCCAGUUGGACUGAAGGCUUUGAUCCAAAGGACAUAUUCCCAUUGACUUCAAAGUGCUAUAGCUCGGAUCCAGAGCUUUUAUAAUGCAGCGGCAAGAGACAUGUGGGACUCCUUAUGCCUCCUUGUUGAAGAUGCAUCUCCGGGCCUUUGAAGAUCUAAUAGGGAAGUGAUUUUUAUGGCUGAUUUAUUAGCCCAACUGCUUCAGUGGGUCUUUGCCUGCAGCAACUCCGGAUAAUUUCAGAGAGCUAAUUGCAGCAUAAAUUCAAGCUUCACAAAAACGGAACUAGUCAUCCAAAUCUCUCUGUAAAACUGCUCAGUACAACCACAUCUAUGUGUUGGAGGCAGCUCUGGAAGCACAGAUGCACAGAAGUUACGGACAAACCAGUGCGUUGCGAUCAUUUAGUCUAAUCUCCCGCAUAAGGCAAUCCAAAGAACCUUACCCAGUAAACUGCAUC